CCCAUCCAUUCUCCCCUCAAUACGGUGCAGUCGUCCUGUCCCCUUUGCAGAAAAGCAUUCCCAAAGGAUUAUGUUUCCACCUCCAUGCUUCACGGUUGGGAUGGUGUUCUUGGGGUUGUACUCAUCCUUCUUCUUCCUCCAAACACAGCUCUCUUCAGGUCAUUGACCAGGUCCUGUCGUGUAGUUCUGGGCUGACCCCUCACCUUUCUCAUGAUCAUUGAUGCCCCACGAGAACAUUUGGAGAAGAUCAAGCGGCUGACUGAAGAGAAGGUUGAGCUGAGGGCACAGCUGGCUCUACAAUCAGAAUCCUUCCAACCAGGAUACCACUGACGAGGCUGUCCAGAACCAGGUCCCCAGGUAUCAGAAAGGGGCAGCUGACCGUGCAGGUGGGAGAAGACGUUGCAGCAGUACAAGGGACCUGCCGUGAAUAUCGAUUGCUGCUAGGUCACACAUAUUACUGCUAUUCUAGCCCUAGUUUAUUUUGUAUUGUAUUAUGUUUAUUUUUCACAUUCAAAUACUGUAAUUUUACUACAUCUGUUGCUGGACAUGUUUUUCUUGCACUAUUAGAUGUAUUUUUAUUUCAAUUAAUU
ensembl:lncRNA